rnacentral:rRNA from 1 species
GACGAACGCUGGCGGCGUGCUUAACACAUGCAAGUCGAACGGAAAGGCCCUGCUUUUGUGGGGUGCUCGAGUGGCGAACGGGUGAGUAACACGUGAGUAACCUGCCCUUGACUUUGGGAUAACUUCAGGAAACUGGGGCUAAUACCGGAUAGGAGCUCCUGCUGCAUGGUGGGGGUUGGAAAGUUUCGGCGGUUGGGGAUGGACUCGCGGGUUAUCAGCUUGUUGGUGGGGUAGUGGCUUACCAAGGCUUUGACGGGUAGCCGGCCUGAGAGGGUGACCGGCCACAUUGGGACUGAGAUACGGACCAGACGCCUACGGGAGGCAGCAGUGGGGAAUAUUGCACAAUGGGCGGAAGCCUGAUGCAGCAACGCCGCGUGCGGGAUGACGGCCUUCGGGUUGUAAACCGCUUUCGCCUGUGACGAAGCGUGAGUGACGGUAAUGGGUAAAGAAGCACCGGCUAACUACGUG